AAAAAGGCAAAAGCCCCUGCUCUCAAGGGGCUCACCUUCUAAUGAGGAGAAGCAAGAGGCAAAUGCAGCUGUGUACAAACAAGGGUUCCAGGGGGUAGGAUAAAGAGACUUCUAUCCUUUGCCUCCAUUGACAAUGGUGUCUUUCAGCGGAGAAAUUCCUCCAGCAGGAGACACCACACCUGGCAGAGAACAGGACCAGAGUCCAGCUGCCCAGUCGAGUUGAGCCAUGGAGGGGAGAAGGUCCAGGGAUCCCAGCUGACUGACCUGCCCAGGAGACACAUCACAUUCAGGGGAGCAUAUGAGACUACUAUAAGAAGAGAAAAAAAAAACAACAUCAGA